GUUAUGAACCCACAGGAGAUACUAGAGGGUACUAGACGCAGUGCACGUGCCAUACACCCUCCCAAAUAUUUGGAGAAUUUCGUGGUCCCCAAUCUAAAGAAAUGACAAGCUUUUCUGCUUUUAUGAAAGAGAUCAUGAGGACAAAAGACUGUAGUAUACUGAUCAAUAUGGUAGCGCUUAGCCAUGCCCAAUUGCCGAUACUUGUUCCAAAAGUCAGGCACAACCGCACAACAGAAGAACUUGUCUUCGAAAUUUCUUAUGACUUGCAGCUAGGUCAUAUCAGAGGAAUAAAAAGAGGGUAGAGGGAGCGCGGUUAUGGAUUCGAUGACCUGCAUGAGCAGAUAUAGUCAACUUGGUCUCUAGUUCACAACUGUUUGUUGAAUCGGAGCAGGAGUAAUGCGUCAUCAGAGGUCUUAUUGUCAUAUGGUUUUUGCUUCUCUGCUGAGCAAACAAAAUCAAUAGCCCAUCCAAUGACCUCCUCUUGAAGGUUGCACUCCUCGUAAGCCCAUUCCACAAUUCUCUAAAUCGACCCCCCUAUAGCUAGACUUGUGAUAUCUUGUUGAGCAUUUUCCCUUGAAUUCUAGUAAAGCUUGGCAUUUGCGGUUAUGGUAUCGGAAGUUCCUUUAAGCAGUGUUCAGGCAUAACAUAUACAACAACCAAAUUUGUACGGGAAAAAGCAAAUGGAGGUUGCAGUACCGGAUUUAUCUUGUGCUCUUAUAUUUGGGAUUUGUUGCAAGUCUUCUACUAGAUUAAAUUCCCAUGCUCCAGGUGGUUCAAACUUAAUAUUCUGAUUAUUCAAGGAUCAUUUUAAUUACCUGUUUUUCCAUAUCCCUAAAUAAGUGUUCAAAAAUGUGUUUUGGGAUAUUUAUAUCGAAGUAUGUGUUGAAGAUUCAAGGGGAUGCUUUUUGUGGUGUUUUUCCAUGGGUUUCAAGUAGCUUGACAACAGGGAAUUUGACAAGAUUGGUGGCCCUUUCUCUGCUAUGUUUAUUUCCUUUUCUGAGCAGAAGAAACCAACAGGCCUUCUUUUGGCUGUAGGCUGUGAUGAUCUCUAAUCUUCAAUUCGCCAAAACCCCGUAGAAGGCUGUGAUCAUCUUUCUUUUCUUGUUUUCAAUUUCUCCAAGCUGACUUGUUUGGACUGAGGUGUAGUUGUAUAUUCUGAGAAAGUUCUUAGGGACAAUAGCAAAAUCUUAUUUGCUUACUGGCGAUUGAACGCAAUGACGUGCUGAAGUUGUUUGGCAUGCCUAAGUUAUUUUUUUUAAUCUCGUUUCAUAGUUUUAGCUGAUUUGGGUGGCUUAUAUGGGUUCUA